rnacentral:misc_RNA from 1 species
AAGGAGUCUAACAUGUAUGCGAGUAUUUGAGUGACAAACUCAGAUGCGUAAUGAAAGUAAUUUUAAUGGGAUCCUUUUUUCACUAAGGGGUGCACCAUUAACCGACCUGGAUAUUCGUUUGAAAGGUUUGAGUAAGAGCAUAUCUGUUGGGACCCGAAAGAUGGUGAACUAUGCCUGAAUAGGGUGAAGCCAGAGGAAACUCUGGUGGAGGCUCGUAGCGGUUCUGACGUGCAAAUCGAUCGUCAAAUUUGGGUAUAGGGGCGAAAGACUAAUCGAACCAUCUAGUAGCUGGUUCCCUC